ACAUCUCAGUUCAGAUUGCAGGCUGCAACUCGCCUGCAUGAAGUCGGAAUUGCUAGUAAUCGUAGGUCAGCAUACUACGGUGAAUACGUUCCCGGGCCUUGUACACACCGCCCGUCAAACCAUGAGAGUUGGCAACACCCGAAGUCGGUAGUCUAACCGCAAGGAGGACGCCGCCGAAGGUGGGGUUGAUGAUUAGGGUUAAGUCGUAACAAGGUAAC
rnacentral:rRNA from 1 species